UUUGGUGGGGGGUUUGUGGAGGGGGAAAAAAGAAAAGGGAAACAAAAUGUGAAUAAUAUUUAGCUUACAUGUUAUUUACAUUUCCCUUCAAUUUUCUAGUGUCAUGUUUCUUAUUGGUUAUAUUAUACAUGAUAUUGGUGGCUAGUCCGAAUUGUUUACACCUGUUGGUUAUAUCCUCUGUUAAUGGUGCUCAGUGCAGUUUAUGGCUGUAGAAAAUUCUUUAUCUUCAGUCAAAAUGCUGCUUAUCAAAUCCCAGCAGUAUUACAAAGUGUUCCUAGAAGAGGCUACCAAAAGCAAGUCUGCAGGAAAGGCAUAGUACCAGACUAUGAUCUCCGACAGCGAUUACACCGAGUUUGAAAACUUCUCAAAGUGGUUGGGAGUCUCCCAGUGAGAUUUUUCUGUCUUUGAGUUUUGUCUUGGUAUAAUAUCUUUAUCUAAUUGUUUUGUUUCAAGAGGAGUUAAUUUACUUUUUGUGGCAGUUUUGAGACAAGAUUUGAGUUUGGUGGGUUAUGUUUUAUGACAAGAUGGAUGGAUUUUUCAUUUUAGCAGAUCUGGAAUCAAAAUUUUACAAAUUGUAGUCUCUUACUUAAA